rnacentral:lncRNA from 1 species
GACUUAAAAUGAUUUACAGUAUUUCCCUGACUCUAUUGCACAAUGCAUCUACGCACACUAGUCCAGUAAAGUACAAUCUAAAAGAAUAAAGUCAGCCUGGCUGGUGAUAAACAGGGGAACCAUUUCCUAAAAAUAAUAAAAUGCUCUGAUUUUCUUAUAGGAAUCAAGAAGAAAAUUGAAGGUCUGAUGGAAGCUGGUCCUUGGUUAGUGAAGUUGCAUUUGCAGAUAAUGGCAUAGAUGGAAGAGGAAACGAAGGAGAAAUGGUUUGUUGGAAUUCAUUCAAACUUUAACAUGCCUGAUCAAAUACUCUGCCCACUUGAGGGAAAGUGACCUUGGAAACAACGUCCUAGGAGAAAUGGCUGCUGCUGACAUACCUGAAGCACUGAGAUCCAGAAAGACAGGUAGAGUGUUUUCAGGCUGUGUGUUUCCCCUCCACCUGCCCACAGCUACUCACUUCUAAAUGCUGUACUACCCACAACUUGCCCCGCUUUUUUCAUUUAAGUAACUGGCCCAAACUAUGUAAUGACUAGGAACACUGUGACAGGCCAGCCAUCAUUCUGUCAAUUUUCCC